AUUGAACGCUGGCGGCAGGCCUAACACAUGCAAGUCGAACGAGUGGCGGACGGGUGAGUAAUGUCUGGGAAACUGCCUGAUGGAGGGGGAUAACUACUGGAAACGGUAGCUAAUACCGCAUACCAUCAGAUGUGCCCAGAUGGGAUUAGCUAGUUGGUGGGGUAACGGCUCACCAAGGCGACGAUCCCUAGCUGGUCUGAGAGGAUGACCAGCCCAACUGGAACUGGGACACGGUCCAACCUCUUACGGGAGGCAGCAGGGGGGAAUAUUGCACAAGGGGCGCAAGCCUGAUGCAGCCAUGCCGCGUGGAGGAAGCAGGCCUUCGGGUGGUAAAGUCCUUUCAGCGGGGCGGCGUUACCCGCAGAAGAAGCACCGGCUAACUCCGUGCCAGCCGCCGCGGUAAUUC
rnacentral:rRNA from 1 species